UCUAUAGGAAGUGAUGCGGUAUUCCUUAGUGAGACUGAGCUGUCCUGCGUCCAUACGUCAUGCUUCUUAUACAUGUAGCUUUUAUUGUGUGUUUACGUAUUUUCUUUAAUGCGAACAUUAAACUUUCACAUAUUUUAUGUUAAUAUUGUAAUCGGAUAUAUUUAAUCCAAUUAUAUUUUUUUAUCAUUAAUAGUCUUAUUGUGGGUGAAAUAAUUCAUGAGCCACUUACGCAGGGUUGCGAGGUGUGGUUUCGAAACAGAAUCUUAAAAGGCAGUUUGCUGGGCUUUGCGCGGUGGAGAAACCAGAAAGAUCCGGCUGUAAGGGUAUUUCUACCUGCGUAUGAUGUGGGCAAGUGCGCAGAAAACGGGCCUUCGAGGAUAAAAAGCCUUGUGAAGGAUUGCCCAACGCGACAGCCUGUGGCGGAGACGGGGAGAGAGAGGAAGGUGGUCGAUCAGAUGCAGUUCAGGCAGUUCAGCACAUUGAAGGGCUGCGUCACAGUGGAUGGAGAGCGCUGUAUCGUGGCAGUGAGGAUAUUAUACGCAGUUUAUAUACCGAGUGUGCGCUUGUGGUUCACAUACGCAUUUCAGAGCCGCGUCCUCAUCCAUCCUGCGCACGCACUGAAAACACUCCGAUGGAGAGAGAAACCAAACAUCAGAAGCACACUGCUUAUAUACGCUUCAAACUCCUUUGAAAUUAUGAAAGCAUCAUCAUCAUCCAAAAGCAGAAACAGGAGACAAGUCUUGAAUAACCACGCAGGCUGGGCCUUGAGGUAAGCUUAUACACACACUGAUUUUAACCCCCAAAAAAACCAUAAUAAAAUGAAAGCACUAAUCUUUACCAUCACUGGGUGUCACUGUUACUGUUCAGCCCCAGUCCUCUCAUGUAGGACUGCGUGCCUUUUCACAUUCGAGCUCUUGCACUCUGCCAGGUCAGUCUGAUACUGGCAUCGUCAUGUUCUGCAUGUAAACUGCGGAGCUCUGUGAGCCACGGGCAACUGAGAAUCAAGAGAAAGUUUUAAAAGUUCAAACCAAAAGAGCACUUCAAUGAGUAAGUACUAACACAUAGAAAUAAGAACAGAUGUGAUACGUAUAAACAUCAGCUUGCAUUUCUAUUAUGAUUCAACAUGCACUUGCGUUCUGAAUUCCACUGCCAUGUGCACAGCUAAUGAUAAAUACGAUGUAGUAAUACAGUACUUAUGAGAGGAGAGAUUUCUACUUUCUGGUUGAUUUGAUGGUUUUAUGUUAAACCAGGUCCUCUGACUUUGCCAAAUUCACCUUCCCUGCCUGAUUUAGUAAGUGCGUCAGCAAAGGACGUUGAGGAAGAGGCUACUAGGGUGCCCAUGUGGUGGUCUUCCCAAAGCGAUCGUGGGUACCAACAAUCUGAACUUUCGGAAACGCGACAGUAAAAAGUGGCCGUUGUGUCCUUCGUCUGUUUGGCGUCUCGGGUGUCGCAAGCACAGGCACUCGAAAUUUGGGAGGACGGGGAAAAAAAAAGCCAGGGUUGCAGAGGCUAGGGAACAUAAGCCUGACUCGUGCGUCACGCGCCAACACUGGGGCUUUCAAAAUGAACGCCGCUCCUCUUCUGCAGGAGAUUAAGGUUUAGGAAGAGGAAUACUGCCGAGAGAUGACACUGCUAAAAUUAACACCCUGCCUAGUGAAUGAUGGAGUAUAAAUAGACAGCAGAAGGAACAGUGUGAAGCAUACUGCAUUAUCACUUGAGCCCCCGCCCUCCAAAAGAAAACUACAGCCUUCAUCACUUAAUACUUGUGAAUGUCUCUUUAAUACUACCUACUGUCGAGGCAUCGCUUAAGGUAUGGAUGAUGACAUUACAUGGCCUAAAAUAGAAACGUCUGUCCUGCAGGCUGUACAAUUUCAGAGCAUAACCACCAGGUUGAAAAUCCAUUCACUUAAAUGUACCCUCUCCUGCCCACUAUUGUUACUCUUGAUACUACUCUUAUCAAUUACUCUUGAUAAUUUAAGCUCCCCCUCCCCCCCCCCCCACUGUGAUGCAGGAUAACCGGCUUUGAUUGCCCGAAUAGUUUGCAUUUCCCAAAGGCUGUCAGUGGCAGAACAGAACAGGUUGGAGGCUGAUUCUUCAGUCAACAAUUUCCCUGCUCCUCCCAUUAGUCAAACACACAAGGCCACUCCAGCAGGCAGCAGUGGGAAUAAAACCACAGCAACGUCAGAGAUUUGUGCCUUUGGGAAUCUUUUUUUUUUUCUCCCAAAACGGAUACACGCUCAUUCUUUCUGCACAUUUUGAACCAGAGCACGCGGCGCCGAAAAACGUUCGUAAUGCCGUUUAGGUUUUUUUUUUUAAUAAAAGGAAAAUAAAGGUGGAAACAUCCGAGCUGGACCUGGCAGCGUCUGUGUUUAAGGAGUGUUACAAGGCCCGGUGUUUGUAAAAAAAACAGCAGCGGACUGGCUUACAGAGGGGAAAAAAGUCCUCCUUCCUGCCACCGGUUAGCGCUAAAGAGUCAGACACUUGUGGUUUGGGAAGCUCAUUGAGAGAGACGGAGCAGCUGUUUCCCGGCUGGCCUAUGAAGGCUGGAAGACGUGCUGCUGCUGUUGCCCAGUCUGUCUGUGAAGGCCCACACAGACGUUGCACUACAGAGAUGCUUCAGUGUUGAACUCGGGCAGCACAGAGUGUGUUUUGUCUAAGCACACAGCAAAUCAGCAUUUUAAAGUCCCAGGGUUUACUCUAGUUACAAUUGAGGGAAAUGGCUCGGUGGCCAGAGAAGCUGUUUGAUGUGGUUUCUGAAAGUGGGGUGAACUAUAACAUACGUCUUUUUACAGUACUUGCAAGGGCCUUAUCCCCAGGUAGUUUCCGACGGAGAGUAGUGGAUUACGAUGCCGAUGUAAAUAAGAGGAAAGUCAGCCGUGUUAACGGCUGCCUUAUCUUUAUUUAUUCUUUUUACUUGAACACCAAGGUGCUGUCAAAUCGGCAAGCAUCACAUCGAAUGCUGAGCGUUUAGCUCCUGUGGCGCACGGAAAAGCAUUCCCAUCCGGUUGCUGGAAGCGUUUCAUUCUUCCGUUUGAUUCUGGAGGCUGCCUUUUUCAUUAUCUCCAUGAAUGCUCACCCCUCCAGUUAAAUUAGGAGCUCUAAUCUGUAAGAAGCUUAGACCUUCUUUGCGGUGGUGUCACCUGCCUCCCAGCAUUCCUGGAGGCACCGGCACGGCUCACCUGACCUUGUGCUUGUCUCCACUGCCUCCAGCCCUUCCCUUCUCCCCCGUCCCCCUCCUCUGUGACUGCCUCUCACUCACAGCCUGCCAGUGCAUUUCAGGACACCAAAACACUGCUGGGGGGGGGGAGAGCUGCAUCAUGGGGCUUUGCAGGGAUGCUCUGAGAGUGAAAGCAUGGCAACAAAAAAGGAAAAGAGAGAAAACGGCCUCGUUCUUUCCUAUGGCUUUUUGCGGCAAAAGCUUUGGCUUGUGCUCGUUAUUCUGCAGAGGACUGCAAACGUGCACCAGAAUGGGGAGGGGGUGGUGGUGGCAUUAUUCAUUGUUGAAGAGUAACAAAACAAUUCAGUCUCUAUUCCCCAGCCAUUCCUUGCGGCGACUGGAAAUUCCCAUUAAAAACUGUGAUUCCCCCCAUAUCACAGGAACAAACUGACCCAGUACCUCCAAAUUCAUUCCACCUGUGCGUGAGCGAGAGGAUCAAAACCCUCACCCCCUCACUGUGCCAGAACCUUUCGUUGCUAAAUUGCUAAGUCAUCCUCAAACGACAGUGCAGUGCUUUCGGCUUCACGGUGUGCUUUUCUCUCAAACACAAACAUUUUCCUCCUGCAUCUAGGCAAAGAAAAUUCACCUUGGGAUGCACAUGAUAAGAAAUCUUGUUGCUGAGGCCACUAUAAAUAGCUGACAGUAAUUUGUACAAUGUGUGGUGGAACCUGCACUGUGCAGCUCAGGACUCAGAAAUUCAAAUGCCUCUUACCUCAUCACCUUUUUUGGAUACUUCUAGAGGAUUAAAGUCUCAUAGACAAACCCCCACAAAGAUGCUGAAAGGACCAGAAAAAUAAGACUAAUUUCUGCCCGCACAAAAAUAUCCCAAGGCUGACACUGUGAAAACGUUGUUUCCUCUCCCUCUUCCUGUCAUACCACACAAAAACAUCUUAGAAAAUCCUCAACCAGCUUUUACUAUUCAGACUUUUUUGUGGGAAAUGUAAAUUUCAGGUCAUUGUGUAUCUUCUUUUACUUCUUAAAUGCAAAAGAUAUCAGCUGAUACCAGACAGCAUUAAUAAUUUCAAUAUUUUUUCACACCCAAUCAGUUUGGUUUUCCCUUUUAAGAGUAUCGGUGAACUUUCAUGGGAUCAAAAUGUGUUCUAAAACGAUAAAAAUAGAUCACGUCUGAGUAGUUUUUCAGGACAGUUCUGUCUUAACUCCUGGGCCUCUUGUAAAAACGCAGACCAAAUAGCUGCAUUCAGCACAUUACUAGGAUACAAUGCUGAUUCCAAUUUACAUAAAAAGAUAAAAAUAUUCUUAGUUAUUUACAGUAAUUAUUCAUAACAGAUAUAUUGCAUCCUUUACUGUACUUUUUCAAAUGUGCUCUAAAACCUGCAUAAAGUCAGAAGCAGAAAUCUGGCGACUUGUGUUGUGCGAAUGUGAGAAGUCAACCAUAGCCAUUUGAUCUCAAUUAUACUAGAUUUCUUACUCAGAGUAUCAGGUUAGAAAAAUCCUUAUAUGGCCAUGUCAGUCUUCAUCCUAAUUAUGUCCCAACUUCACAUCCCUGUCUGUCAAGACUGUGUUCUGCAAACACAGCCAACAGAUAAGCAGACACAUAGGAACUACACCAAUGCGUGCACUGAAAACAACACACUUAUCUCAUCGCAUGUCUUGAAUGAGAAUUUCAAACCCUGCAGUGGGAAACCCUAUGAUAUAUUUAUAUAUGCCAUUUAAAAUCUUAUUCAGUACUUUGGCCGUCUUAUGGGAACCACAAAUGUAGAAUGGGGAUGUGUUUUCUCAUAGUGUGCAGUAUAUGGCUAGACUGAACACUGCUCUUAGUGGUCCACAGUAAUUCUAAAUUAUGCACACAAAGGAUUGAAAGGGUUAACAAUGAAUUUGUGUUCAAUGGAUCUAGCUUUAUCCCAUUAACACUGGGAAGGAGAACAGUGCAAAAGAGUCACUGAAAAAGCCUACCGUACACUCAGAAGGUCAAAGUGGUUUGAACUGGCCAACCUCUAUUCCAGGGUUAGACACUGCUCUGGAGGUCUUGAUCAUAUCUUGUGCAUUAUCUCCGUUUCUCAAAGAACUCCAAUUCCCAUCCACCCUUGAGGUGUCAGGGCCAGUACCAGUGAAAUGAAAGUAAUGUGAAAGAACAUUAGGAGAACAUGAGAGAAAUGGAGUGCUAUUACAAGUUGGUUAUGUCUGAGGUUUUUAAAACUACAGUACUAGCAACAACAUAACUUCCCAUUCUGUCUUUUAAGGCUUGAAAUUACCCCUUGGAAAACAAAGCUGAACGACUAAUGUUAUAUAAUAUUUUCAUCGUAAAAGAACGUGUUUCUACUGAGGAGGCGUAUAAGGCUUUGCAACAUUUUUUUCUGCCCGAUAGUAUUAUAAUUCAUUACAGAUUUGGAAAAGCAGACUUUUAGUUGUUGUCUCAUUGCUGAAAUGUCCCUGCUCAAAACCUGGUAGUAAAUAAAUUCACUAAUACAUUGCUAGGAAUUGUUAGAACAGGGAAAUUGUUGACUGACCGAAUUAAUAAUUCAGUGUCUGAUGCGGUCUUUGGAGUAUUUAUUGUAACCAAGUUCUAUAAUCAUACACAGACCAAAUAAAAUACCAUACUUGAAUUGCUAUUUAAAGGAAGCGUUGUUUGGAAGAAACCGCAGUAAUAUGUGGUCAUAAAACAGAGGUGUGCCAGCUCACUGUUCUAAAAAAAAUACCUGAAAAAGUCCAUAAUAAUAACAGCUUUGUAAGUGGUUAUUGACACUAAAACAGUUUUGGAAGAACAGGUGUCCCAAAACUGUUGAGAAGGAACAGAAGAAGACUUGAUGAGUGAGUUAUGGCAUCUUUUCUGUCCCACGUCUUGCUUAGUUUGGAAUGGGAAAGGGGGAUUGCAUCCACGAAAAGUUUGGCUGAAUAACAAUAACGGGAGCAAUGCAUCCAGGGAUUGUGCUGGGUAGAGAAUAGGCAGCUUCUCUGAAGUUUUGCUUUGCUGCCAUCAUAUCAUCUUAACAUUUUCAUUCACUUCCCUGUUGCAUAGGUAGUGUGCAGAUUGUGAGCAUGUACACAGAUGUUGCACAGCUGGAGAGCAGCUCCUGGUUUGUGUCGAGGGCUGAGGAGGGUUAACAGCAAGCCCAGGUCGAGCCUUCCUUCUCGGUUUUGUUUUGUUUUUUCUGUGUUUUGUUUUUGUUUUGUUACAAAUGGGGACAAUGUGCCUUUAAAACCAGUAGGUUGUCAGGUGACUGAGGAGGCACAGACGGCUCAGUUAGCUUGGAGAAGCCGAGUGCAACUGUGAGCAGUACAGAGAGACAGAUAGAGAGCGAGGGAGAGAAAAAGAAAACGAGACAGAGGGAGAGAGAGAGAGAGAGAGAGAGAGACCUGGUUUAAAGGGUGACACUGAGAGAGGGAGGGAGCGGAGAGAGAGGUGGCUGCGGCCUGUUAACAGAGUAGCUCCGGCUGUGUGUGUCUGUGCGGCAGUGUGCUGCUGGCCUGAGUUUUUCAAGGAGCUGCAGUUGUGUAGCUACAACACUGGGAGAAAGCCUGGAGAAUUAAGUGCUGCGUCACACUAAGGGAGAGAGAUUGUGAGUGUGUGUGUGUGUGUAUCUGUUUGUGUGUGUGUGCGCGUGUGUCGGAGAGAACUGGCUCUGUUGAUGUCUGAAAGAGCAAUACUGCUGUUGCUGCAGCUAGAUGAAAAUAGAGAGAGAUAGAAGGAGAGAGAGAGAAUUUGAAUUAGUCGCUACGUCACUUUUUCACGUCGAGGGGAAAAAGCAGCUAAGAUACCAGGAGCUCGGAGUCCUGUGGCUUUCUACCUGAGAGUGGACGGCACAUAAAAAUAUCUCUUUUUUUGCCUUUUCCUUUUUCGUUCUUUUCUACUUUACUUUUAUUCUGGGUGUUUUACUGUCUCACCGUCGGUCUUACCCACGUCAGGAAUAGCGUUGCGGAGUUGUAAGAAGGAUGCUGAAGAUGUGACGUACUUUACCUCGGUCGGAGGCAAAUGUUGAGGCGCUGGAGGGAAGGGGGCGCGGAACGAAGGGUUAACGCAAGAACGGUUGUUCUGGAAGGUUCUUUUUGAUGAGACGAAGAGCGCAGGGGGAGCAUUAAUCGAGAAUAAUCUAGGUUAUACAGAAUACUAACACUUGUAUUUUACAUUGUACAUAGAGAGUGAUGGGGAAUAGGGAGCAAAUAUACAUAUGUAGGAAAGAAAUCUAUAUAUAGGCAGUUGUCACCUAGAUGAUACAGAGGCACAAGCUAAUGUAUUUCUCCACCUAACCUACUGCUGCCGGCCUGUUAUUUUCCUGUAGGACGUAUAACAGUAUGGUAAGUGAUGAUGUUUUCCUGUAAACAAGGGAUCAUGCAUUGUCUUGUUUUUUCUGAUUUUUCCCUACGAUUAACUCUUUCUGGGACCAACGACUGACUGUAUGGGUGGGGAAGGGCGGCAUUCUGAACAGGGACGUGGGGAGGGUACAUGGGCAUCUUUUCUUUGGCUGCGCACCGAAUCGAAAUCCGGGCGUACCGUAACGAACGCUUUCAGGCGAUCGGUUUUUGCUGUUUCUGACAGAUUCGGGCUGAUCCAGACAUCUCCAGUGUAAUUCAUGAGGUUAUUUAAUCAUCCUGGUCACAGGGAGACUCGGGGCUAUUGUUGCUUCUGCUGCUGCGGGGUUAAAAGAGUUCUAGCUCUGAGAUUUGUUGCUGCGUAGUUAAUGGAAACAGAAGUGGUGACGCAGUGAUCUUUAUUUCUCUGUUUGGAGAGUGAGAGAAGACCGGUUGUCUCUUCCUGUUUCUCCCUGGUUUUCUUGCACUGGUUAAGUGCUGGGGAUUCUGUUUAUGCCUUUGCAAAUUAGUUUGCCCCUGAAAGCAGAACCAGGGGCCUAAAUGUCAUGGCUGUGUAGCAGGAAAGUUGUUUACCUUGCUCUCUUGGUGACUCCAUGUUGGCAGUUUUCCAACUUGCAUGUGAUAGACUUCCUAAUGCAGCUGCAUCAUCAGCUAAGUGGUAGAGCUUGUUUCCCAUUGGACUUUGAGAGGCCCCCAGAGUGUGGAGGCAGUGUGUUCUCAUUGGCUAGACACCAGCAAGCAGGUGGAAGCCUGCUUCUGAUUGGCUGAAGGAGAGAGAUGUCAUGUAUGAAUCUUCUGUGUUGUUGGUGUAAGGAGUUCUUGCUGCAUGUCUCUGUAUAGUAUAUCUCUCCCUGCUUUGACUUUCCUGAUUCAGACGCAAAUGAGCCAAAAAAAAUUUUUUUCUCAUUUUUUCUAUCACAUAUUGAGGCUUAGUUAUGUUCUGUACUGUUAAUGAAUAUUAAACCUGUUCAGGAAUAAAAGCGUGAUGAUUUCUUUAUGAUUCGAUCUAUUAAGAAGGAGCGGCACAGGAGGCAGUCUAUUGUGUUUUGAGUCAUCUUGACUACAACUUGUUUUCCAGUUUACAUACUGAGAAUUGUACAUUAAAGUUACUGCAGCAAGAGCAUCAGACUUCAGUUGUUGAAGAAACAAAACAUUUCAACCAGGGGGCAGAAAUUCAUGUACAGUGAGGUUUAAUUUACUGUCAAGAAUCUGUGUCGUAUCCUGCGCAGCUUUGUAUGUGCCAUACUGUCUGUUGUCUAAGUUGGGAUUCUGUGAUGAUUCUGCAGCUAUUGCUGUGUGUCACGCCAUUCGGCGUGUCUCUUCAUUCACGUAGAGCUUUCCAAGCGCUACUGAGGGUGAUUUUGCUCCUCAGUAAAUGGGGGAUAUUUUAGCACCCCUAAGGACAAAUAGGUGCAUAGUUAUUUUUUGCUUUGUAGGAUGCCUGGUUCCGACUCCGGUCUCUCGUGGCUUUAGAUCCUAUUUUUUUGCGUUGAAAUCAAAUCAAACUGCGCAGCUGGCCCUUUUCAGAAUUCGGGAUUGUGAUGUCACAACCAGCGAGCUCAGGCGAUGAUGUAAGUGGGUAUGCGCCUGCCAAGGAGUUGUUGCUGCAGCAUACGCCACAGACUUGUAUUUAAACAGACGCCCUACGACGGAAGCAGAAGGAACAGGCUGCUCACCUUGCCUCACCUCACAGGAGAGAAGUAACGCAAAACUGAGCUAAAGUUUAACUAUGCCUUACUGCAUUAGACCAAGUUAAUACCUCAGUUGAACUUGAUUCUCCCUGGGACUUUGGCACUGAGAUAAUUGCCCUACAUGAAUGGGCCAGGCUGUAUUAAAUUUCUAGUCAAAGGGCGUUUUUUUUCAAAAUUUCAAGUGCUUAAAACAUGCCUCUGCAACAAACAGGCUGAGAAUUGAUGCUUUCAGAAAAGAAAAAACAACUCUGCAAGUACGUCUAUUGAGAGAAGAAAAUACUGGAAAGAAAAGUACAGACUGUGUGGAUUUGUGGAAUAUCUUGCUUUCAAUGCCUGCAUUAAGUGUCGAGGGAGUUUGGGACUGCAAACAGAGAUCCUUUUAACCUGCUGCCAGCUACUUCAUUUGAAAGCACUUCUCCUAAGAAGCUUACAAAAAUUGAGUGUUUACAAAAUAAAUGGGAGAAGGGGCUUGGGUCUUCUCCUGGAAGCUGGUUUCAGGUGGUGGCUUAGAGUGCUUCAUGUUUUUCAUCUAGCACCAUUUGAAAUCAGUGUUCUUGGAGCAAGAGAGACAUCGCCAGCCAGCCUGCCUGCCUAAAGAGACCAGCCCUGCUGUCACCCACGCAGUGCUGCCCGUCAGGAGGAAAGGAGCUCAUUUUUCCAAAGGAUUACACAGACGUGGGCAGUGGUUGAUUCAUAGCGGACAUGUGACGAUUGUUUUGAUGUCUCUAGUGUUUGAUUCACUCAUUAUUGUGCAAGGAAAAUUUGACUAUGUAUCCUAGCCUAUUGAAUUCAAUGUAUGUAUAGAAUGGAAUAUAUAUAGUAAGCAAACAUGCAUGUUUAUAGACAGCAAAUAGAAACAGUAAAAUGUAUUACUGUGCCAUGAGAAUGCACUGCAGUGCCAUCCGCUGAUGUAUGUUUUCAUCUCGUUUCCAUUUCCAAAGCUAGAGAAAUAUUUAGAACUUAAUGAGAAACAGCACUGGAAUAGCAAAUAGAUCCGUUAUGUGAAGAUCCUGGAGAUCCACAGGUGCUGAGGGAUACUCAAACUCCUCAAAGGCAUUGAAACAGUUGGAAUUAGGACCAUUUAAGUCAGGAAUUUACGUUUAAAGACGUUAAGAACUUAGCUGGAAAGCCAAAAAAAACACUGUGCCUCUGCAGGAAAGAGGACCAGAACCUUGAGAGAAAAACACUAUAAGAAAUGUAUUCUGCACCACAACCAAUAGCAUAGCAUCAGCAUGGAGACUCAUAACCCACAGAGACAAGACUCAACUUCUAAUACGGUGUCCUUCUCCCUGAGGCCUCUUACCAAGGCUGACCGAUUUCUUUUGGUGUUCAGAGUCAUCUUCAGUUUCUAGCACCAUUUGAAAUCGGUUACAAUGUAGGAGGAAGAUCAGCUGAACACUUUUACAAAAGAGGACAAGAAACUUGCCUCCUGUCUCUGGACUUAGAAGAGAGCUUUUGGAGCCAAAGCUUAUUCUGCUGUCACCAUGGUGUGUUCAUUUUCUGUUUUACAAAACCAUUCCCUGCAGUUUUGUUUAAGUUUGUAAUUCUUUAAUAAACGAAGCAGUGCUUUAAUUCUGCUCUCUUCAGAUUCAGCUUCAAAUUAAGCACAAGCCCAGCCGGAGUUGUGGAGCAUUGGCAUGUGCUUUCUGUAUGCAUUUUAAAUAAAGGUGCCACGUGUCAUUGCAAAGCAUAAACACUGAAGUAAGCUCAAAAGAGGGCCACUCUCAAAAGAAAGACCAAGUCUGCAUACUGUGUAUCACUCAUUCACUCCUCUGGAAAUAAACUUUCUUAAGAUGA